rnacentral:sRNA from 20 species
GUUUAGCCCUGAUUGUAAUGGCAUCCUUUUAAGGUAAACAGAUGAAAAUCUGCUUUAUCUAAAAAGAUAAAAUGGAAAGCAGGAAAUAGC